rnacentral:rRNA from 1 species
AGAGUGAACGCUGGCGGUAGGCCUAACACAUGCAAGUCGAACGGCAGCACGGUAAGAGCUUGCUCUUAUGGGUGGCGAGUGGCGGACGGGUGAGGAAUACAUCGGAAUCUACCUUUUGGUGGGGGAUAACGUAGGGAAACUUACGCUAAUACCGCAUACGCCCUUCGGGGGAAAGCCGGGGGACCAGCAAUGGCCUGGCGCUGAUAGAUGAGCCGAUGUCGGAUUAGCUAGUUGGUGAGGUAAUGGCUCACCAAGGCGACGAUCCGUAGCUGGUCUGAGAGGAUGAUCAGCCACACUGGAACUGAGACACGGUCCAGACUCCUA